rnacentral:rRNA from 1 species
AUGAAUGUUUUGUGCUGGAACUGUCGCGGUUUGGGCAAUCCCGCGACAGUUCGUGAAGUCCGUGUUCUCACGGUGAAAUUUGCCCCGGCCGUGCUAUGCUUAGUGGAAACUCAAUUGCCAAGUGCACGCGUCGAGAUUUUAGCACAGUCUUUUGGUUUUGGUAGAUCUUUUGCAGUUAGUAGCUCGGGUCGGAGCGGUGGUCUUGUAAUUUUU